rnacentral:rRNA from 1 species
AUUGAACGCUGGCGGCAUGCUUUACACAUGCAAGUCGGACGAGUGGCGAACGGGUGAGUAAUAUAUCGGAACGUACCGAGUAAUGGGGGAUAACUAAUCGAAAGAUUAGCUAAUACCGCAUAUUAUUCGAGCGGCCGAUCUCUGAUUAGCUAGUUGGUGGGGUAAAGGCCGACCAAGGCGACGAUCAGUAGCGGUUCUGAGAGGAUGAUCAGCCACACGGGGACUGAGACACGGCCCAGACUCCUACGGGAGGCAGCAGUGGGGAAUAUUGGACAAUGGGCGCAAGCCUGAUGCAGCCAUGCCGCGUGUCUGAAGAAGGCCUUCGGGUUGUAAAGUACUUUUGUCAGGGAAGCGGUACCUGAAGAGAAAGCCACGGCUAACUCCGUGCCAGCAGCCGCGGUAAUAC